rnacentral:rRNA from 1 species
ACUCCCUACGGGAGGCAGCAGUGAGGAAUAUUGGACAAUGGGGGAAAGCCUGAUGCAGCAACGCCGCGUGAGUGAUGAAGGCCUUCGGGUCGUAAAGCUCUUUGAUGAGGGAAGAUAAGGACGGUACCUGAAAAACAGGCCACUGCUAACUACGUGCCAGCAGCCGCGGUAAUAC